CACCCCACUCCCACUGCCCUCCUGUUUUCAGAUGCAGCCUCUGCGCUUUACCCCAUCACCUGCAAAUCUCUGGGAUGCUCUGAGAACCAACAUCCAAAGCCACCUUCUGCCGCUCCAUUGAUUUCUACAAGCAGGCCUUUCAGAGCCUUGUUGUUGGACAAGAUCACUUGAAACAGCACUACUCCCCCACCUCAGAGCCAGGAGCCUGUGUGGUGCUUUGAAGUCAGGGGUUGUAAGCCUCGGGAUCGUAAGUGUCACCGUGUCGUAAGCACCUAAUGCCGGAACAGGGCAGGCAUCAUCUGGUCAAGUCGCUGCAGACGAGGAGCUCAACUGAGAUGUGUAGAGGGGUGCGCUGUUGGGUGCCCUAUAACUUCAGCUUGGUUGUGGGAACGGAGGGAGAGAAAAUGACUUUAAGAAACACACUCUGGAGGCGCCUGGGUGGCACAGCGGUUAAGCAUCUGCCUCCGGCUCAGGGCGUGAUCCCGGCGUUACCGGAUCGAGCCCCACGUCAGGCUCCUCCGCUAUGAGCCUGCUUCUUCCUCUCCCACUCCCCCUGCCUGUGUUCCCUCUCUCGCUGGCUGUCUCUAUCUCAGUCAAAUAAAUAAAUAAAAUCUAAAAAAAAAAAAAAAAAA
rnacentral:lncRNA from 1 species